UUCGCAAUGCCCGAAAGGGUGACGAAGCGACGCCGCGUGAGCGAAGAAGGCCCUAGGGUUGUAAAGCUCUGUCAGGGGUUAUGAAAUGUAGACUAGCUAAUACCUGGUUUAUUUGACGAAGGCUCCAAAGGAAGCCACGGCUAACUCUGUGCCAGCAGCCGCGGUAAUACAGAGGUGGCAAGCGUUGUUCGGAAUUAUUGGGCGUAAAGAGCACGUAGGUGGAUUUGUAAGUCAGAUGUGAAAGCCUUCUGUUCAACGGGAGAAUUGCAUCUGAAACUACAGACCUUGAGUAUAGGAGGGGAGAAUGGAACUUCUGGUGGAGCGGUGAAAUGCGUAGAUAUCAGAAGGAACGCCGGCGGCGAAAGCGAUUCUCUGGCCUAUUACUGACACUCAGUGUGCGAAAGCUAGGGGAGCAAACGGGAUUAGAUACCCCGGUAGUCCUAGCCGUAAACGAUGGGCACUAAGUAGAGGGGUUUUA
rnacentral:rRNA from 1 species